rnacentral:rRNA from 1 species
GACGAACGCUGGCGGCGUGCUUAACACAUGCAAGUCGAGCGGUAAGGCCCUUUCGGGGGUACGACGAGCGGCGAACGGGUGAGUAACACGUGGGUGACCUGCCCUCAGCUCUGGGAUAAAGCCUGGGAAACCGGGUACUAAUACUGGAUAUGACUCCAUGACGCAUGUUGUGGGGUGGAAAGCCUUGUGCGGCUGAGGAUGGGCCCGCGGCCUAUCAGCUUGUUGGUGGGGUGANGGCCUACCAAGGCGACGACGGGUAGCCGGCCUGAGAGGGCGACCGGCCACACUGGGACUGAGACACGGCCCAGACUCCUACGGGAGGCAGCAGU